rnacentral:rRNA from 1 species
AUGGAGGGUCGCACUCGUAGAGUUGCCUCGCUACCGAUGAGGUCGCCGUCCAUGGUGGCAGGAUGGCGCUUGUCGCCGAUGGGUGAGAGGGCACUUGUGUCUACUGAUGGGCCUUCCCUGCCUGUGCAGAAUUGGCUGACGACCAGGGUAUCAGCUUUUGACCGUUUGACCGGGCAAGUGGGGCCGCUGGAAGGAUCCGAGAGGAGGCAAAUUUCAAAUCCUGACCGCAAUAAUGGAGAUGGGGUCACGUGCCAACCAAUUGCCAGGGAGCUUGGCAGUUUGCUGGUUGGUGCUCCAUAG